rnacentral:misc_RNA from 1 species
CAGGACUCGCUAGACUCCCGUAAACCACUGUGAACCUACCUACAUUCGUUGCCUCGGCGGGUGCCCCGGUGCGAACCGGGGCGCUGCGCCCGCCGGCGGCUCACAACUCUGUCUCUCGCGUUGGCAUCUCCGAGCAAACAAAAACGAGUCA